rnacentral:rRNA from 1 species
CACGUAGGGGGCGAGCGUUGUCCGGAUUUAUUGGGCGUAAAGGGCUCGUAGGCGGCUCAGUAAGUCGGGUGUGAAACCUCCAGGCUCAACCUGGAGACGCCACUCGAUACUGCUGUGGCUAGAGUCCGGUAGGGGAGCAUGGAAUUCCUGGUGUAGAGGUGAAAUGCGCAGAUAUCAGGAGGAACACCAGUGGCGAAGGCGGUGCUCUGGGCCGGAACUGACGCUGAUGAGCGAAAGCGUGGGGAGCAAACAGG